GACGAACGCUGGCGGCGUGCUUAACGCAUGCAAGUCGAACGGGAGUAUCGAAGAAGCUUGCUUUUAAGAUACUUUAGUGGCGGACGGGUGAGUAACGCGUGAGGAGCUGUCCUAUGCAGGGGGACAACAGUUGGAAACGACUGCUAAUACCCCAUAAGCCGAGAGGUAAAAGGAUUUAUCCGGCAAAGGAGGUACUCGCGUCCUAUCAGCUAGUAGGUGAGGUAACGGCUCACCUAGGCGAAGACGGGUAGCCGGCCUGAGAGGGCGAUCGGCCACACUGGAACUGAGAUACGGUCCAGACUCCUACGGGAGGCAGCAGUGGGGAAUAUUGGGCAAUGGGGGCAACCCUGACCCAGCGACGCCGCGUGGGUGAAGAAAUCCUUCGGGAUGUAAAGCCCUGUUGUAUGGGAAGAGCAGAAGACGGUACCAUACGAGGAAGCCCCGGCAAACUACGUGCCAGCAGCCGCGGUAAAAC
rnacentral:rRNA from 1 species